GCAUCUUUUCGGGUUGAAAACUCCGGUGGUUAUGGAUGGGCAUGCGUUGUAUUAGCUGGUUGGUGAGGUAACGGCUCACCAAGGCGACGAUACAUAGGGGGACUGAGAGGUUAACCCCCCACAUUGGUACUGAGACACGGACCAAACUCCUACGGGAGGCAGCAGUGAGGAAUAUUGGUCAAUGGACGCAAGUCUGAACCAGCCAUGCCGCGUGCAGGAAGACGGCUCUAUGAGUUGUAAACUGCUUUUGUACGAGGGUAAACUCAGAUACGUGUAUCUGACUGAAAGUAUCGUACGAAUAAGGAUCGGCUUACUCCGUGCCAGCAGCCGCGGUAAUACGGAGGAUUCAAGCGUUAUCCGGAUUUAUUGGGUUUAAAGGGUGCGUAGGCGGUCUGAUAAGUUAGAGGUGAAAUCCCGGGGCUUAACUCCGGAAUUGCCUCUGAUACUGUUGGGCUAGAGAGUAGUUGCGGUAGGCGGAAUGUAUGGUGUAGCGGUGAAAUGCUUAGAGAUCAUACAGAACACCGAUUGCGAAGGCAGCUUACCAAACUAUAUCUGACGUUGAGGCACGAAAGCGUGGGGAGCAAACAGGAUUAGAUACCCUGGUAGUCCACGCAGUAAACGAUG
rnacentral:rRNA from 1 species